GAUGAAGAACGUAGCGAAAUGCGAUAAGUAGUGUGAAUUGCAGAAUUCAGUGAAUCAUCGAAUCUUUGAACGCACAUUGCGCCCCUUGGUAUUCCAUGGGGCAUGCCUGUUCGAGCGUCAUUUGUACCUUCAAGCUUUGCUUGGUGUUGGGUGUUUGUCUCGCCUUCGCGUGUAGACUCGCCUUAAAAUAAUUGGCAGCCGGCGUAUUGAUUUCGGAGCGCAGUACAUCUCGCGCUUUGCACUCAUAACGACAGCGUCCAAAAGUACAUUUUACACUCUUGACCUCGGAUCAGGUAGGGAUACCCGCUGAACUUAAGCAUAUCAAUAAGCGGAGGA
rnacentral:misc_RNA from 1 species